rnacentral:rRNA from 1 species
GCGGCGACGGGUAUCCGGCCUGAGAGGGUGUACGGACACAUUGGGACUGAGAUACGGCCCAGACUCCUACGGGAGGCAGCAGUGGGGAAUAUUGCACAAUGGGCGCAAGCCUGAUGCAGCGACGCCGCGUGGGGGAUGAAGGCCUUCGGGUUGUAAACUCCUUUCGCUAUCGACGAAGCCACUUGUGGUGACGGUAGGUAGAUAAGAAGCACCGGCUAACUACGUGCCAGCAGCCGCGGUAAUACAAAC